rnacentral:RNase_P_RNA from 1 species
AGAGUAGGCGAGGCGGUUGCAGAUUCUUUUUAUAAAGAGUCUGAGGAAAGUCCGGGCUUCCGAAAGACCAGACUUGCUGGAUAACUCCCAGUGCGCGCGAGCGUGAGGAUAGUGCCACAGAAAGAUACCGCCAAUCGAUUUUGGAUUUUGGAUUGUGGAUUUUGGAUUUAAUCUAAAAUCGUAAAUCUAAAAUCUAAAAUCUUGGUAAGGGUGCAAAGGUGCGGUAAGAGCGCACCAGCAGCAUCGAGAGGUGCUGGCUCGGUAAACCCCGGUUGGAAGCAAGGUAAUGGAACUACGGUUGGUCUUUUACCAGUUCCGUUAAAUGAGCCGCUUGAGGCGUUUGGUAACAAAUGUCCCAGAUAGAUAACUGCCGUUUAAUAUAGAGAUGCUAUACGUAGUGUUUCUUAUUAGAUAACAGAACCCGGCUUAUGUCCGACUCUCUCU